rnacentral:rRNA from 1 species
GACGAACGCUGGCGGCGUGCCUAACACAUGCAAGUCGAACGGGAUUUAGUAAACAGAAAGCUCGGUGGAAGAUUACUAAUGAGAGUGGCGAACGGGUGAGUAACGCGUGCGCAACCUGCCUAUGACAGUGGGGUAGCCUUGUGCAACCGGGAUUAAUACCGCAUAAAAUUGUAGAAACACAUGUUUUAACGGUCAAAGAUUUAUCGGCCAUAGAUGGGCUCGCGUCUGAUCAGCUAGUUGGUGAGAUAACAGCCCACCAAGGCGACGAUCAGUAGCCGGUCUGAGAGGAUGAACGGCCACAUUGGAACUGAGACACGGUCCAGACUCCUACGGGAGGCAGCAGUGGGGAAUAUUGCACAAUGGGGGAAACCCUGAUGCAGCGACGCCGCGUGAGCGAAGAAGGUAUUAGUAUCGUAAAGUUCUGUCCUAUGGGAAGAUAAUGACAGUACCAUAGGAAUAAGCUCCGGCUAACUACGUG